UACGUAGGGUGCAAGCGUUAAUCGGAAUUACUGGGCGUAAAGCGUGCGCAGGCGGUUUUGUAAGUCUGUCGUGAAAUCCCCGGGCUCAACUUGGGAAUUGCGAUGGAGACUGCAAGGCUAGAAUCUGGCAGAGGGGGGGUAGAAUUCCACGUGUAGCAGUGAAAUGCGUAGAGAUGUGGAGGAACACCGAUGGCGAAGGCAGCCCCCUGGGUCAAGAUUGACGCUCAUGCACGAAAGCGUGGGGAGCAAACAGG
rnacentral:rRNA from 1 species